GGUUGUGGUUCCAUUUUGAACCGCCCUAAGUAUACCCCUAAAGUUGAGUCAGAUUUUCAGUUAUUAACCCUUGAACUUUUCCACUUUGUAUAAUAACUAUAAUGCAAUAGGACAUAUAGUUAUGCUAAAUGUAUGGUUCCAGGUAAAAUUGAACCAAGGGUUUUGGAUUCGAAAAUAACACAUACAAUUAUAUUGCUAUCAAGUAUAUACAAACAACAAACAAAAAAUUAAAAAGAGAAAAAGCAGAAAAGUUCACUGUUGCAAUCUUCCAUUAAGUCCGUCGUUUCUGAGCUCUCUUCUUUGGUCUUCUCAUUUUCUUGGGAAAAAUGCCUUCAAAAAGUUCCACAAACCAUAUAGAAAAUAUACUAAAUUGAGUGUUUUCAGUUGAAAAUAUUAUAGCAAUU
rnacentral:lncRNA from 1 species